rnacentral:rRNA from 1 species
UACGUAGGGUGCGAGCGUUAAUCGGAAUUACUGGGCGUAAAGCGUGCGCAGGCGGUUUUUGUAAGUCUGUCGUGAAAGCCCCGGGCUCAACCUGGGAAUUGCGAUGGAGACUGCAAGGCUUGAAUCUGGCAGAGGGGGGUAGAAUUCCACGUGUAGCAGUGAAAUGCGUAGAGAUGUGGAGGAACACCGAUGGCGAAGGCAGCCCCCUGGGUCAAGAUUGACGCUCAUGCACGAAAGCGUGGGGAGCAAACAGG